AUUGAACGCUGGCGGAAUGCUUUACACAUGCAAGUCGAACGGCAGCACGGGGGCAGCCCUGGUGGCGAGUGGCGAACGGGCGAGUAAUACAUCGGAACGUGCCCGGUCGUGGGGGAUAACGUAGCGAAAGUUACGCUAAUACCGCAUACGAUCUGAGGAUGAAAGCGGGGGACCUUCGGGCCUCGCGCGAUCGGAGCGGCCGAUGUCAGAUUAGGUAGUUGGUGGGGUAAAGGCCUACCAAGCCGACGAUCUGUAGCUGGUCUGAGAGGACGACCAGCCACACUGGGACUGAGACACGGCCCAGACUCCUACGGGAGGCAGCAGUGGGGAAUUUUGGACAAUGGGCGCAAGCCUGAUCCAGCCAUUCCGCGUGCAGGACGAAGGCCUUCGAGUUGUAAACUGCUUUUGUACGGAACGAAAAGGCUCUGGCUAAUACCUGGGGCUCAUGACGGUACCGUAAGAAUAAGCACCGGCUAACUACGUG
rnacentral:rRNA from 1 species